AUUGAACGCUGGCGGCAGGCCUAACACAUGCAAGUCGAGCGGGGUUUUCGGACCUAGCGGCGGACGGGUGAGUAAUGCGUAGGAAGCUACCCGAUAGAGGGGGAUACCAGUUGGAAACGACUGUUAAUACCGCAUAAUGUCUACGGACCAAAGUGUGGGACCUUCGGGCCACAUGCUAUCGGAUGCGCCUACGUGGGAUUAGCUAGUUGGUGGGGUAAUGGCUCACCAAGGCGACGAUCCCUAGCUGGUUUGAGAGGAUGAUCAGCCACACUGGAACUGAGACACGGUCCAGACUCCUACGGGAGGCAGCAGUGGGGAAUAUUGGACAAUGGGCGCAAGCCUGAUCCAGCCAUGCCGCGUGUGUGAAGAAGGCCUUCGGGUUGUAAAGCACUUUCAGUAGGGAGGAAGGGUGUUGUGUUAAUAGCACAGCAUUUUGACGUUACUCGCAGAAGAAGCACCGGCUAACUCUGUGCCAGCAGCCGCCGUAAGAC
rnacentral:rRNA from 1 species